rfam:Octopus bimaculoides Scaffold5643_contig_264, whole genome shotgun sequence.
GUACUAGCUACAACGUUACAUAUUCUAAAAUUCGAAUGAUAUAGAGAUUAGCAUGGCUCCUAUGGAAGGAUGACGAGCAAAAUCGUGAAUCGUUCCAUAUCGUA